rnacentral:rRNA from 1 species
AGAGCGAACGCUGGCGGCGUGCUUAACACAUGCAAGUCGAACGCGCAGCAUUCUGUAGCAAUACAGGGUGUGGGCGCGUGGCGAACGGGUGCGUAACACGUGGAUAACCUUCCUUGAGGUGGGGAAUAACCCAGUGAAAAUUGGGCUAAUACCGCAUAACAUCGCGAUGGCACAUGCUGAUGCGAUCAAAGGCGCAAGUCGCCACAAGAGGGAUCCGCGGCCGAUUAGCUUGUUGGCGAGGUAAUGGCUCACCAAGGCGACGACGGGUA